rnacentral:rRNA from 1 species
UACGUAGGGUGCAAGCGUUAAUCGGAAUUACUGGGCGUAAAGCGUGCGCAGGCGGUUAUGCAAGACAGAGGUGAAAUCCCCGGGCUUAACCUGGGAACUGCCUUUGUGACUGCAUAGCUAGAGUACGGUAGAGGGGGAUGGAAUUCCGCGUGUAGCAGUGAAAUGCGUAGAUAUGCGGAGGAACACCGAUGGCGAAGGCAAUCCCCUGGACCUGUACUGACGCUCAUGCACGAAAGCGUGGGGAGCAAACAGG